AUGGCGAGCCCGCAGUGCUGCGCGAACCCGCCGACGCUGAACCCCGCCGGCGGGGAGGGCAGGGUCGUCGACGACGGCUUCGGCGGGAUCGCGGCGUACGUUGCUGGCUCCGCCGGGUCCAAAGCCGCAGUCAUCCUCGUCUCCGAUAUCUUCGGGUUUGAAGCGCCGAAUCUGAGGAAGAUAGCUGAUGAAGUCGCUUCGUCUGGAUACUUGGUUGUGGUGCCAGAUUUCUUACAUGGGGAGCCAUAUUCACACGAAAACGCCGAUAGACCAUUUCCAGCGUGGAUAAAGGAUCAUGCCCCGGAAAAGGAAUUUGAAGAGGCAAAACGAAUAAUUGCCGCUCUAAAGGAACAAGGAGCGUCUAGUAUCGGGGCUGCAGGUUAUUGCUGGGGUGCAAAACUAGUUACCGAGUUAGCGAAGGCUAAUGAGAUCCAGGCAGCUGCUAUGUCUCACCCUUCUUUUGUUAGUGUUGAUGAUAUAAAAGAGACGAAAUGCCCCAUUGCCAUACUUGGAGCUGAAACCGACUUUAUGUCCCCACCUGAAUUGGUCAAGCAGUUCGAGCAGAUUUUAUCCGACUCAGGGAUUCGUCACUUUGUCAAGAUCUACCCUGGUGUGUCCCAUGGGUGGACUGUGAGAUACAACAGCGAUGACGCAACUGCUGUCAAAUGGGCCGAGCAAGCCAUGGUGGACAUGACCAGUUGGUUUAACGAGAACCUGAAGUAG
rnacentral:rRNA from 1 species